UACGAAGGGGGCUAGCGUUGUUCGGAAUUACUGGGCGUAAAGGGCGCGUAGGCGGUGUGUCCAGUCAGGCGUGAAAGCCCCGGGCUCAACCUGGGAACCGCGCUUGAGACUGGCACGCUCGAGUUCGGGAGAGGAUGGUGGAAUUCCCAGUGUAGAGGUGAAAUUCGUAGAUAUUGGGAAGAACACCGAUGGCGAAGGCAGGCAUCUGGACCGACACUGACGCUGAGGCGCGAAAGCGUGGGGAGCAAACAGG
rnacentral:rRNA from 1 species